rnacentral:rRNA from 1 species
GAUGAACGCUGGCGGCGUGCCUAAUACAUGCAAGUCGAGCGAACAGACGAGGCGCUUGCUCCUCUGACGUUAGCGGCGGACGGGUGAGUAACACGUGGAUAACCUACCUAUAAGACUGGGAUAACUUCGGGAAACCGGAGCUAAUACCGGAUAAUAUAUUGAACCGCAUGGUUCAAUAGUGAAAGACGGUUUUGCUGUCACUUAUAGAUGGAUCCGCGCCGCAUUAGCUAGUUGGUAAGGUAACGGCUUACCAAGGCGACGAUGCGUAGCCGACCUGAGAGGGGGAUCGGCCACACUGGAACGGAGACGCGGUCCAGGCUCCUAAGGGAGGCAGCAGUAGGGAAUCUGCCGCAAUGGGCGAAAGCCUGACGGAGCAACGCCGCGUGAGUGAUGAAGGUCUUCGGAUCGUAAAACUCUGUUAUUAGGGAAGAACAAAUGUGUAAGUAACUAUGCACGUCUUGACGGUACCUAAUCAGAAAGCCACGGCUAACUACGUG